GGACCGUGUGGGAGGGACUCAGACAGGCCAUCAGCCGUAUAACUGUUGUUGUUCAGUGGCGUGAAAUCGGACUCUUUAGCACUGGGGCUCACCCAGGAUAUCGGAACUGCUUUAACAGCUUCCACUAUGCAGCACUCAGGGACAAAUCCCAAAUGGGGGCUCACCCCUUGCCAGAUUACUGGGCUAAACCUUACUGGCAGUCAUACUCCCCAGGGGUAAUGUCACCAACC